GGACAGAUGGGAGCUUGCUCCCUGAUGUUAGCGGCGGACGGGUGAGUAACACGUGGGUAACCUGCCUGUAAGACUGGGAUAACUCCGGGAAACCGGGGCUAAUACCGGAUGCUUGUUUGAACCGCAGGUUCAAACAUAAAAGGUGGCUUCGGCUACCACUUACAGAUGGACCCGCGGCGCAUUAGCUAGUUGGUGAGGUAACGGCUCACCAAGGCAACGAUGCGUAGCCGACCUGAGAGGGUGAUCGGCCACACUGGGACUGAGACACGGCCCAGACUCCUACGGGAGGCAGCAGUAGGGAAUCUUCCGCAAUGGACGAAAGUCUGACGGAGCAACGCCGCGUGAGUGAUGAAGGUUUUCGGAUCGUAAAGCUCUGUUGUUAGGGAAGAACAAGUGCCGUUCAAAUAGGGCGGCACCUUGACGGUACCUAACCAGAAAGCCACGGCUAACUACGUGCCAGCAGCCGCGGUAAUACGUAGGUGGCAAGCGUUGUCCGGAAUUAUUGGGCGUAAAGGGCUCGCAGGCGGUUUCUUAAGUCUGAUGUGAAAGCCCCCGGCUCAACCGGGGAGGGUCAUUGGAAACUGGGGAACUUGAGUGCAGAAA
rnacentral:rRNA from 2 species